CGAAACCACCAACUGACAGCCUUAUGCGCAGAUCACCGAUUCGCUGAAGGGAAUCUCUUAUAACUAAUGUCAUGUGGAGGAACUUGAUGAUACAGGCUAUCUAUCAAGUGACCAUUCUUCUCAUUCUUAAUUUCGGUUGGCAAAGUAUUAAUCUAGGUGAUGAUCAAGAUUCUAAAUC